rnacentral:sRNA from 10 species
UGAAGAAAAUGGGUUUUUUUUUUAAUCUGAUUUGUUUUUUCAAAAUCCUCUCCCCCUUUGCUUUCAAAAUCUUUUUGGUUCUUAUAGAGUGUGGUUGUCCAAACUUUUGGACAACUAGAGGAAGCAAUCAUGCUCGGUUCAGCUUGAAUCCUGGGUGGCCUUCAAGUCAAAACAAAAUCUGUCGGAUUGAUCUCCAAAUCUCGACCGUCGGAGGAGCAUUUAAUGCUUCGUUUUUUUUUACUGUGGAGGCCAGGCAAACCUAUGGUUGUAACCUGCCCUUCUGUGUCUACUCUAAAGAUCAAAUCCUAUCAAUACUUCAAGAGAGGUUCUUGAUACUUCCAUAUAUUGUCUUUCAGCAAUAAACAUUACAACUUUAUGCCAAAAAAGUCGCAGCUACCUUUGGAGGUAUGCAGAAGGCUCUUUACGUUUGUAGUAAAAUUUUUAUGGUGGAAAGAAGGAUACAAUUGUUGGGGAGGGUCUCUUCAACCUAGGCCAAUCUCAAAUUGAUAAAUCAAAGAGAGUAACACUACAGGUUGAUGAAGCCGGCAUCUCUUUUGCACUAUAGGUACAAAUUCGUCAUUUGAGAAAGGUAGACAACAUUUUAUCUUCUUGAGUUUUAAUUUGUUUCUUGUUGUUAUCUAUUUACUUGGAAUAGGGAAUUUGAAAAAGUUUUGUGCGUGCUUACAAUGAGAUUUAGGUUGUUGGACAUCUAUCUUAUUUGUUGCCAAAUAAUGAAAGUUGAUGUUAAAAUCUAUACCCAGAGUAUCUAAUUGCUUUAAUAUGUUGCUUUAAAUUAGAGUAUCUUAUAAUCUAAUGUUCUUCUACUUUUCUUAUUUUAGAAUUAGCAAACUUGUUAGAACAUCUUUUUUGCUAGAGCAAAAAUUAGGAUAAAGGAGCUUUCUUUAUGUAAA